GAUGAAGGAACGUAGCGAAAUGCGAUACGUAAUGUGAAUUGCAGAAUUCAGUGAAUCAUCGAGUCUUUGAACGCACAUUGCGCCCCCUGGUAUUCCGGGGGGCAUGCCUGUCCGAGCGUCAUUGCUGCCCUCAAGCCCGGCUUGUGUGUUGGGUCUCGUCCCCCUUCCCGGGGGGACGGGCCCGAAAGGCAGCGGCGGCACCGUGUCCGGUCCUCGAGCGUAUGGGGCUUUGUCACCCGCUCUGUAGGCCCGGCCGGCGCUUGCCGAUCAACCAAAACUUUUUUCCAGGUUGACCUCGGAUCAGGUAGGGAUACCCGCUGAACUUAAGCAUAUCAAUAAGCGGAGGA
rnacentral:misc_RNA from 1 species